rnacentral:rRNA from 1 species
CACGUAGGGCGCAAGCGUUGUCCGGAAUUAUUGGGCGUAAAGAGCUCGUAGGCGGUCUGUUGCGUCUGCUGUGAAAACUCGGGGCUUAACCCCGAGCCUGCAGUGGAUACGGGCAGACUAGAGGUAGGUAGGGGAGAAUGGAAUUCCCGGUGUAGCGGUGAAAUGCGCAGAUAUCGGGAGGAACACCGGUGGCGAAGGCGGUUCUCUGGACCGAUACUGACGCUGAGACGCGAAAGCGUGGGGAGCAAACAGG